UCAAGUCUCUUCAAGGUUAGGCACUUCGUCUGCCACUGAGGCCAGACAAGGCAGCCCAGCUAGAAGAACAUAUCCCACGGACAGGCAACAGCUUUUGGGAUAGCCCCUGCUCCAGUUGUUCAGGACUCAGAUGAAGACCAAGCUGCACACCUGCUACAUGUGCGGAGAAGCCUAGGCCCAGCCCGUGUAUGUUCUUUGGUUGGUGGUUCAGACUCUGAGAACCCCAAGGAUCCAGGUCUUAUGCUGAAGAUCGCCACCCAGUGGGGACACGGGAAAUUCCAGCCCAGGGUGCCCAGCUGUGACCUAAUGAGGAAGCCUGUGGAUGGGUGAGUCAGGAGAGGGGAAGAGUCUAGAAGCGCCCAAGGAAGGCGAAGGCAAGCCCACCAAAGACUGAGCUACAUUACCUGAAGGCAAAGGACAGGCCCACAAAGAAACAGAGACUCACAGAGCAGAAGCAUGGCAUUUUCCCAAAGGUGAAAGAAGAUCAAAACAUCUGCUAUCUGUUGGGUUUAACAACAAACACAGAAGGCAAACCCCUUGGUGAAGAGU
rnacentral:lncRNA from 1 species